GAGGUGUGCUCAGAGAAAGGGGUCUGGAGAAUGGCUCCUCUGUCUGUGACACACUGGAUAGGAGUCUGAGGUCACAGUGAGAAGGGGCACAAAAGGUAUGACCUUUUCAUGAGCCAAUCCCUACAUCU
rnacentral:snoRNA from 1 species